ensembl:processed_transcript B230319C09Rik RIKEN cDNA B230319C09 gene
AUCCCGGGGCACCCUCCUACCCCCGGCAACAUACACAAGACGUCCCCUGCAGUUCUAGCGGGUGCAACUGGAGUACGGCGAAGGGGUGGGGAGCGGCAGUAUGUGGGUAUCCCAUACCGGCCACUCUCAGCCAGAGCAGAGCUGGAGCUCUGGUUCUCCAAGGAGAAUCCAGGGCAGCAGAAGCCUCACAUCCAUCCCCCAACCCCGCCCCCCCGCUUUGCAGACUGCAGAUGAGUGGAGUAACUUACCGAAGGUGACACCGCUAGAACACAGCAUAGCUCAAACUCCAAGCCAGCCUCUCUCUGCUCAACUGAAGAAUGGAACCAGCAGCCAUUUCAUGCAGCUGUGA